rnacentral:rRNA from 1 species
UACGGGGGGCGCAAGCGUUGUUCGGAUUUACUGGGCGUAAAGGGCGCGUAGGCGGCCACUGCAAGUCAGUUGUGAAAUCUCCGGGCUUAACCCGGAAAGGUCAACUGAUACUGCAGGGCUAGAGUGCAGAAGGGGCAACUGGAAUUCUCGGUGUAGCGGUGAAAUGCGUAGAUAUCGAGAGGAACACCUGCGGCGAAGGCGGGUUGCUGGGCUGACACUGACGCUGAGGCGCGAAAGCCAGGGGAGCGAACGGG